GGUCAAGUGAAGAAGCGCAUACGGUGGAUGCCUUGGCAGUCAGAGGCGAUGAAAGACGUGGUAGCCUGCGAAAAGCUUCGGGGAGUCGGCAAACAGACUUUGAUCCGGAGAUCUCUGAAUGGGGGAACCCACCUAGGAUAACCUAGGUAUCUUGUACUGAAUCCAUAGGUGCAAGAGGCGAACCAGGGGAACUGAAACAUCUAAGUACCCUGAGGAAAAGAAAUCAACCGAGAUUCCCUUAGUAGUGGCGAGCGAACGGGGAUUAGCCCUUAAGCUUCAUUGAUUUUAGCGGAACGCUCUGGAAAGUGCGGCCAUAGUGGGUGAUAGCCCCGUACGCGAAAGGAUCUUUGAAGUGAAAUCGAGUAGGACGGAGCACGAGAAACUUUGUCUGAACAUGGGGGGACCAUCCUCCAAGGCUAAAUACUACUGACUGACCGAUAGUGAACCAGUACCGUGAGGGAAAGGCGAAAAGAACCCCGGAGAGGGGAGUGAAAUAGAACCUGAAACCGUAUGCGUACAAGCAGUGGGAGCCUACUUGUUAGGUGACUGCGUACCUUUUGUAUAAUGGGUCAGCGACUUAUAUUCAGUGGCAAGCUUAACCGUAUAGGGUAGGCGUAGCGAAAGCGAGUCUUAAUAGGGCGUUUAGUCGCUGGGUAUAGACCCGAAACCGGGCGAUCUAUCCAUGAGCAGGUUGAAGGUUAGGUAACACUGACUGGAGGACCGAACCCACUCCCGUUGAAAAGGUAGGGGAUGACUUGUGGAUCGGAGUGAAAGGCUAAUCAAGCUCGGAGAUAGCUGGUUCUCCUCGAAAGCUAUUUAGGUAGCGCCUCAUGUAUCACUCUGGGGGGUAGAGCACUGUUUCGGCUAGGGGGUCAUCCCGACUUACCAAACCGAUGCAAACUCCGAAUACCCAGAAGUGCCGAGCAUGGGAGACACACGGCGGGUGCUAACGUCCGUCGUGAAAAGGGAAACAACCCAGACCGCCAGCUAAGGUCCCAAAGUUGUGGUUAAGUGGUAAACGAUGUGGGAAGGCUUAGACAGCUAGGAGGUUGGCUUAGAAGCAGCCAUCCUUUAAAGAAAGCGUAAUAGCUCACUAGUCGAGUCGGCCUGCGCGGAAGAUGUAACGGGGCUCAAACCACACACCGAAGCUGCGGGUGUCACGUAAGUGACGCGGUAGAGGAGCGUUCUGUAAGCCUGUGAAGGUGAGUUGAGAAGCUUGCUGGAGGUAUCAGAAGUGCGAAUGCUGACAUGAGUAACGACAAUGGGUGUGAAAAACACCCACGCCGAAAGACCAAGGGUUCCUGCGCAACGUUAAUCGACGCAGGGUUAGUCGGUUCCUAAGGCGAGGCUGAAAAGCGUAGUCGAUGGGAAACAGGUUAAUAUUCCUGUACUUCUGGUUACUGCGAUGGAGGGACGGAGAAGGCUAGGCCAGCUUGGCGUUGGUUGUCCAAGUUUAAGGUGGUAGGCUGAAAUCUUAGGUAAAUCCGGGGUUUCAAGGCCGAGAGCUGAUGACGAGUCGUCUUUUAGAUGACGAAGUGGUUGAUGCCAUGCUUCCAAGAAAAGCUUCUAAGCUUCAGGUAACCAGGAACCGUACCCCAAACCGACACAGGUGGUCGGGUAGAGAAUACCAAGGCGCUUGAGAGAACUCGGGUGAAGGAACUAGGCAAAAUGGCACCGUAACUUCGGGAGAAGGUGCGCCGGCUAGGGUGAAGGAUUUACUCCGUAAGCUCUGGCUGGUCGAAGAUACCAGGCCGCUGCGACUGUUUAUUAAAAACACAGCACUCUGCAAACACGAAAGUGGACGUAUAGGGUGUGACGCCUGCCCGGUGCCGGAAGGUUAAUUGAUGGGGUUAGCGCAAGCGAAGCUCUUGAUCGAAGCCCCGGUAAACGGCGGCCGUAACUAUAACGGUCCUAAGGUAGCGAAAUUCCUUGUCGGGUAAGUUCCGACCUGCACGAAUGGCGUAACGAUGGCGGCGCUGUCUCCACCCGAGACUCAGUGAAAUUGAAAUCGCUGUGAAGAUGCAGUGUAUCCGCGGCUAGACGGAAAGACCCCGUGAACCUUUACUGUAGCUUUGCACUGGACUUUGAGCCUGCUUGUGUAGGAUAGGUGGGAGGCUUUGAAGCGUGGACGCCAGUUCGCGUGGAGCCAUCCUUGAAAUACCACCCUGGCAUGCUUGAGGUUCUAACUCUGGUCCGUGAUCCGGAUCGAGGACAGUGUAUGGUGGGCAGUUUGACUGGGGCGGUCUCCUCCUAAAGAGUAACGGAGGAGUACGAAGGUGCGCUCAGACCGGUCGGAAAUCGGUCGCAGAGUAUAAAGGCAAAAGCGCGCUUGACUGCGAGACAGACACGUCGAGCAGGUACGAAAGUAGGUCUUAGUGAUCCGGUGGUUCUGUAUGGAAGGGCCAUCGCUCAACGGAUAAAAGGUACUCCGGGGAUAACAGGCUGAUACCGCCCAAGAGUUCAUAUCGACGGCGGUGUUUGGCACCUCGAUGUCGGCUCAUCACAUCCUGGGGCUGAAGCCGGUCCCAAGGGUAUGGCUGUUCGCCAUUUAAAGUGGUACGCGAGCUGGGUUUAGAACGUCGUGAGACAGUUCGGUCCCUAUCUGCCGUGGACGUUUGAGAUUUGAGAGGGGCUGCUCCUAGUACGAGAGGACCGGAGUGGACGAACCUCUGGUGUUCCGGUUGUCACGCCAGUGGCAUUGCCGGGUAGCUAUGUUCGGAAAAGAUAACCGCUGAAAGCAUCUAAGCGGGAAACUUGCCUCAAGAUGAGAUCUCACUGGGAACUUGAUUCCCCUGAAGGGCCGUCGAAGACUACGACGUUGAUAGGCUGGGUGUGUAAGCGUUGUGAGGCGUUGAGCUAACCAGUACUAAUUGCCCGUGAGACUUGACCAU
rnacentral:rRNA from 1 species